UACGGAGGGGACUAGCGUUGUUCGGAAUUACUGGGCGUAAAGCGCACGUAGGCGGAUUUGUAAGUCAGGGGUGAAAUCCCGGGGCUCAACCUCGGAACUGCCUUUGAUACUGCAAAUCUCGAGUCCGGAAGAGGUGAGUGGAAUUCCUAGUGUAGAGGUGAAAUUCGUAGAUAUUAGAAGGAGAACCAGCGGUGGACGGCGAA
rnacentral:rRNA from 1 species